AACAAGAUGCUGUUUUUAAUCAUUGAUAGACGAUGGGAAAACCAAACUUUAACAGGAAGCGUGUGAAAAACAGGCCGCCACGAGGAGUGGACCAUAAAGCAGAACAGCAAGCGAGAGGAUGCAGCCAGCUGCUGCAAAAUGAAAAGUUGGGAGAACAGAACCAGGAUG